GACGAACGCUGGCGGCGUGGAUUAGGCAUGCAAGUCGAACGGUAUCAUCCUUUCGGGGGUGAGAGAGUGGCGAACUGGUGAGUAACACGUAGGUUAUCUACCCUCAAGACGGGGACAACCCAGGGAAACUUGGGCUAAUACCGGAUGUGAGCAACUUUUAGUUGUUUGAAAGGUGGCGUAAGCUGUCGCUUGGGGAUGAGCCUGCGUCCUAUUAGUUAGUUGGUGAGGUAACGGCUCACCUAGGCAAUGAUAGGUAGGCGGCCUUAACGGGUGGUCGCCCACACUGGGAUUGAGAUACGGGCCCAGACUCCUACGGGAGGCAGCAGUCGAGAAUAGUCUACAAUGGUCGGAAGACUGAUAGUGCGACGCCGCGUGAACGAUGAAUCCCUUCGGGGUGUAAAGUUCUUUUAUAUGUGAGCAGUGCUUCUUAUAUUAACAGUAUGGGGAGAGAGAUAUUAGCAUAUGAAUAAGCAACGGCUAACUCCGUGCCAGCAGCCGCGGUAAACU
rnacentral:rRNA from 1 species